UUUUGGACAAUGGGGGCAACCCUGAUCCAGCCAUGCCGCGUGAGUGAAGAAGGCCUUCGGGUUGUAAAGCUCUUUCGGACGGAACGAAAUGGGCGGGACUAAUACUCCUGUCUGAUGACGGUACCGUAAGAAGAAGCACCGGCUAACUACGUGCCAGCAGCCGCGGUAAUACGUAGGGUGCGAGCGUUAAUCGGAAUUACUGGGCGUAAAGCGUGCGCAGGCGGUUUCGUAAGCUGGAGGUGAAAUCCCCGGGCUUAACCUGGGAAUGGCCUUCAGGACUGCGAGGCUAGAGUGCGGCAGAGGGAGGUGGAAUUCCACGUGUAGCAGCGAAAUGCGUAGAGAUGUGGAGGAACACCGAUGGCGAAGGCAGCCUCCUGGGCCAGCACUGACGCUCAUGCACGAAG
rnacentral:rRNA from 1 species